rnacentral:rRNA from 1 species
GGGCUGCAACCCGCCCACAUGAAGUCGGAGUUGCUAGUAAUCGCGGAUCAGCAUGCCGCGGUGAAUACGUUCCCGGGCCUUGUACACACCGCCCGUCACACCAUGGGAGUUGGGAGUGCCCAAAGCCGGUGAGGCAACCUUCGGGAGCCAGCCGUCUAAGGCAAGACCAAUGACUGGGGUGAAGUCGUAACAAGGUACC